UCCUCUUUAUUUUUCUGCACUCUCAUCAGCCAAAAAACGUCCUAAGGGUUUCAUCAAGCUGGUUUUUCAUAAUUUUUGCACCAAAUCCGGAAAAUUCAAAUACGAAGCAAGAUCGAGGAAAAGAAAAAGUUCGGGAUUAGUAGAUUUUUGCUUACGAACAAGUAUCGAGAGUUAAGAGCUCGGAAGUCGGAUUUGGUCGGAGACACAUCACACUAUCAAUCUCGAGAUCUCGGUACAUAAAGGAACUUUAUUUUGGAAAUCAAUGGCAUGUAUAAGCUAGUAAAUUAGAUGUUAAUGUGAAAUGAAUGUAUGGUUAGCCAUUGGUAUGGCUAACAAAUUUUGGUUUUGGUAUGUGAUGAAAUUAUCUUAUGAAUAUGAUAAAUCUAUCUUGAAAAAAAAAAUUCGGUAAAAUCUGGUAAUGCCUCAUACUCUAUUUCGGCGACGAAUACGGGUAGGGGGUAUUACACUAAAAAUAUAGAAGUUUCACACAACUUUGAGAUAUUUUUAAUCUGUUCGAAAAUAGUGAGAAUUUAUUUUGUAAGUAUAAAUUCUAUUUUUCGGGAAUAACAAUUCUACCGUUUUUAUUGAGAGAGAGAUCUACUUUCCUACUAAAAGUAAGAAAAUUAUUUUUGGUUCGUGUUUGAUUCAUAAUUGUUCGAUCCCACGCUUGAAGCGAUUCUUGGUACGAGAAUAGUAGAGAAGGUUGCUCGGUUGAAAGCUAGGAACGUCAAGGACCCGUCUUGCACAAAGCACAAGUACUUUUCGA